GACGAACGCUGGCGGCGUGCUUAACACAUGCCAGUCGAACGCUGAAGCUUGGUGCUUGCCCUGGGUGGAUGAGUGGCGAACGGGUGAGUAAUACGUGAGUAACCUGCCCUUGACUCUGGGAUAAGCCUGGGAAACUGGGUCUAAUACUGGAUACGACAUGUCACCGCAUGGUGGUGUGUGGAAAGGGUUUUACUGGUUUUGGAUGGGCUCACGGCCUAUCAGCUUGUUGGUGGGGUAAUGGCUCACCAAGGCGACGACGGGUAGCCGGCCUGAGAGAGUGACCGGCCACACUGGGACUGAGACACGGCCCAGACUCCUACGGGAGGCAGCAGUGGGGAAUAUUGCACAAUGGGCGGAAGCCUGAUGCAGCGACGCCGCGUGAGGGAUGACGGCCUUCGGGUUGUAAACCUCUUUCAGCACGGAAGAAGCGAAAGUGACGGUACGUGCAGAAGAAGCGCCGGCUAACUACGUG
rnacentral:rRNA from 1 species